rnacentral:rRNA from 1 species
UACGGGGGAUGCAAGCGUUAUCCGGAAUCAUUGGGCGUAAAGCGCCUGUAGGUUGUUUAAUAAGUCUGUUGUUAAAGACUAGGGCUCAACCCUAGAAAAGCAAUGGAAACUACUAGACUAGAGUAUGGCAGGGGUAGAGGGAAUUUCUAGUGUAGCGGUGAAAUGCGUAGAUAUUAGAAAGAACACCGGUGGCGAAAGCGCUCUACUGGACCAUUACUGACACUCAGAGGCGAAAGCUAGGGGAGCAAAAGGGAUUAGAUACCCCUGUAGUCCUAGCCGUAAACGAUGGAUACUAGAUGUUGCGCAAUUUGUGCAGUAUCUUAGCUAACGCGUUAAGUAUCCCGCCUGGGGAGUACGCUCGCAAGGGUG